AUGACCAUACUGUCUUUAUCCCCAUACAGACACCAUACUGUCUUUAUCCCCAUACAGGCACCAUACUGUCUUUAUCCCCAUACAGACACCAUACUGUCUUUAUCCCCAUACAGACACCAUACUGUCUUUACCCCCCAUACAGACACCAUACUGUCUUAUCCCCAUACAGACACCAUACUGUCUUUACCCCCAUACAGGCACCAUACUGUCUUUAUCCCCAUACAGGCACCAUACUGUCUUUAUCCCAUACAGGCACCAUACUGUCUUUAUCCCAUACAGACACCAUACUGUCUUUAUCCCCAUACAGGCACCAUACUGUCUUUAUCCCCAUACAGACACCAUACUGUCUUUAUCCCCAUACAGGCACCAUACUGUCUUUAUCCCCAUACAGGCACCAUACUGUCUUUAUCCCCAUACAGGCACCAUACUGUCUUUAUCCCCAUACAGGCACCAUACUGUCUUUAUCCCCAUACAGGCACCAUACUGUCUUUAUCCCCAUACAGGCACCAUACUGUCUUUUAUCCCCAUACAGGCACCAUACUGUCUUUAUCCCCAUACAGGCACCAUACUGUCUUUAUCCCCAUACAGGCACCAUACUGUCUUUAUCCCCAUACAGGCACCAUACUGUCUUUAUCCCCAUACAGGCACCCAUACUGUCUUAUCCCCAUACAGACACCAUACUGUCUUUAUCCCCAUACAGGCACCAUACUGUCUUUAUCCCCAUACAGACACCAUACUGUCUUUAUCCCCAUACAGGCACCAUACUGUCUUUAUCCCCAUACAGGCACCAUACUGUCUUUAUCCCCAUACAGGCCACCAUACUGUCUUUAUCCCCAUACAGGCACCAUACUGUCUUUAUCCCCAUACAGACACCAUACUGUCUUUAUCCCCAUACAGGCACCAUACUGUCUUUAUCCCCAUACAGGCACCAUACUGUCUUUAUCCCCAUACAGGCACCAUACUGUCUUUAUCCCCAUACAGACACCAUACUGUCUUUAUCCCCAUACAGGCACCAUACUGUCUUUAUCCCCAUACAAGGCACCAUACUGUCUUUAUCCCCAUAAGACC
rnacentral:lncRNA from 1 species